rnacentral:rRNA from 1 species
UACGUAGGGUGCGAGCGUUAAUCGGAAUUACUGGGCGUAAAGCGUGCGCAGGCGGAGAUGUAAGACCGAUGUGAAAUCCCCGGGCUUAACCUGGGAACUGCAUUGGUGACUGCAUUGCUGGAGUAUGGCAGAGGGGGGUGGAAUUCCACGUGUAGCAGUGAAAUGCGUAGAGAUGUGGAGGAACACCGAUGGCGAAGGCAGCCCCCUGGGCCAAUACUGACGCUCAUGCACGAAAGCGUGGGGAGCAAACAGG